CCCUUAGAUGUUCUGGGCCGCACGCGCGCUACACUGAUGCAUUCAACGAGUGUACCUUGGCCGAGAGGCCUGGGCAAUCUUUUGAACGUGCAUCGUGAUAGGGAUAGAUUAUUGCAAUUAUUAAUCUUGAACGAGGAAUUCCUAGUAAACGCGAGUCAUCAGCUCGCAUUGAUUACGUCCCUGCCCUUUGUACACACCGCCCGUCGCACCUACCGAUUGAAUGUUUCGGUGAAGAUUCCGGAUAGGACUUUUUUGAUUUAUUUCAAUUUUGUCUUAAAAGCUAUCUAAACCUCAACAUUUAGAGGAAGGUGAAGUCGUAACA
rnacentral:rRNA from 1 species